AUGCCUUAAACUAAUGAGUAAGGAAAAUAACGGUCCGGGGUGACGCCCGGGUCCUCGCCGCAUUGUGCGAGAGGAAUUUUUGAGCGGGUAAAGGUCGCCCUGCAGGUGACUCGCCUACUUUGCGAGUUGCCGCGGUGUCGUGAUCUGCCCG